AAAUUGCCCACUCUUUGCAGGAGGCAGUUAUGAGACGUGAAGAUGAGUAUCUUGUAAAGAGGGAUAGGAGAAUUGGAGGGCAAGUUUGGUGCCAGCAGCCGCGGUAAUACCGACUCCAAGAGUGUGUAUGAGAGAUGCUGCAGUUAAAAAGUCCGUAGUCAUAGAAGGGCAAAGAGAGACGCGAGGUCUCACAGUGCGAUGAUGGAGGAGCCGAUGGGGAACAUAGUAUACCAGGGCGAGAGAUGAAAUGCCAAGACCCCUGGUGGACUGAGCGAGGCGAAGGCGAUGUUCUUGUAGGCAUUCGGUGAUCAAGGACGAAGGCUGGAGUAUCGAAAGUGAUUAGAUACCGCAGUAGUUCCAGCAGUAAAAGAUGCCGACAUGCUCAUUGGACACAGUGGGCAGGGAGAAAUCUUAGAGUUCGGGCUCUGGGGAUAGUAUGCUCGCAAGGGUGAAAAUUAAAGAAAUUGACGGAGCUACACCACAAGGAGUGGAUUGUGCGGCUUAAUUUGACUCAACGCGAGGAAACUUACCAGGGCCAAGUAUUGUGUAGAAACGAGCAAUACAGGAGUGGUGCAUGGUCGUUGGAAAUUGAUGGGAUGACUUUGACCUUAAAUGGUUGAAUGAGUGAGAUCUUUUGGACAUGUUCCGCACGGAACAGGAAGGAAAAGGCUAUAACAGAUCCGAGAUGCCCUCAGAUGCCCUGGGCUGCACGCGCAAUACAAUAGCAGGUAGAGAGAGAGACAGGAAGGUGCUCAGAUGGACUAUGUGCUGUAAGGCACAUACGAAAGAGGAAUUCCUAGUAAGUGUGUAUCAACAAUGG
rnacentral:rRNA from 1 species